rnacentral:rRNA from 1 species
GACGUAGGGUGCGAGCGUUGUCCGGAAUUAUUGGGCGUAAAGGGCUCGUAGGCGGUUUGUCGCGUCGGGAGUGAAAACCCAGGGCUUAACCCUGGGCUGGCUUCCGAUACGGGCAGACUAGAGGUAUGCAGGGGAGAACGGAAUUCCUGGUGUAGCGGUGAAAUGCGCAGAUAUCAGGAGGAACACCGGUGGCGAAGGCGGGUCUCUGGGCCGAUACUGACGCUGAGGAGCGAAAGCGUGGGGAGCGAACAGG